rnacentral:rRNA from 1 species
CCUACGGGAGGCAGCAGUAGGGAAUCUUUCACAAUGGGCGAAAGCCUGAUGGAGCAACGCCGCGUGCAGGAUGAAGGCCUUCGGGUUGUAAACUGCUUUUAUAAGCGAGAAAUAUGAUGGUAACUUAUGAAUAAGGAUCGGCUAACUACGUGCCAGCAGCCGCGGUCAUACGUAGGAUCCGAGCAUUAUCCGGAGUGACUGGGUGUAAAGAGUUGCGUAGGUGGCAUAAUAAGUAGCUAGUGAAAUCUGGUGGCUCAACCAUUCAGACUAUUAGCUAAACUGGUAAGCUCGAGACCGUUAGGGGUAACUGGAAUGUCUAGUGUAGGAGUGAAAUCCGUAGAUAUUAGAAGGAACACCAAUAGCGUAGGCAGGUUGCUGGGACGGUUCUGACACUAAGGCACGAAAGCGUAGGGAGCAAACGGGAUUAGAUACCCUAGUAGUC